AGAGGAACACGUUAGUUCCGGACGGCUUGCGCAGGCUUGGGAAUAACUUUCCGGGGUUAAGAAAAAAUGAGAUCGUUCGUUAUCAGUGAAGCAGAUGAGCUGCGAUACGCAUCUCCACGGUGACUUCAUACCCAAGCCAAGAAUAAGUGCCUUUGGAGCACCUUCAGGAUGGUUCAGGAGCUGCACACACCUUUGGAAAGCAAUGAGCUACCUGCUCUCCUCCAUAGGGACCGUGCCAGCUUGCAGUCCUGGAACCGUUACAGAGAAGAGAAACUAUCUGGUUUUGCCCAUCUAACAAUGACGAGGUGUUCUGAGUACAGAAAAUACUGUGCAGUGCAGGGGAAACACCAUUGUACAGAAGGAAACCGGUGAGUUUGCUUGGGUGAAUCAG